rnacentral:lncRNA from 1 species
CGUGGAAGCCAUGACCGCCACUAAACACUGCACCUGAACUGGCUGAGGUGGUAGCUGUUAAAGUCUGAAAGAAAAUAUAACUGUAAGCAGGUCACAGAAAUACAGGGCGAACAAAUAGUAAAGCGACAGGAUAAAGCGGAGGUGUGAGUCCAUCUGUCGUCACCGCAACAAAAUACCCGAGGAAAUGUGGAAAACCUUGUGCUGUCUCCUGCUUCAGAGGCACCAGCCCUAGGUCACGCUCAGCCUGGGCCUGUGGUGAGAUCCACCUCACAGCAGAAGUUUGUGUUGCUCUCUCACACUAACGGUUUGAGAAUUUGAUCCCUUCUGCUACCUAGAAGCUGGUUGCCCCUGAGGUCCCUCCUUCCUCUAGCAUACCACUCCUCAGAAUGUCCAGAGAUGACGCUGCAAGGACCCGUCUGUGACGAACUAGGGCACUGAGGAGAGCGUUCUCCAGGUUCCUUCCUCUUCCUGCGUUGCCAUUGUUACCGUGUGACAUUCCAGGGACACCGAGAGUCAGGAGAGACAACAGCACACUCCGCCCAUUUCAAUAAAGAGAAAAGCAAUCUCGAGAAAGCAAACGACCCCUGCCAACCCUCGGUUGGAAUCUCAGGACUCUGACUGCGUAUGCUCUACCCAGUGGAAACGUUCGCCACAUGGGCUGGGGAGAUGACUGGCUUGGGUGAAGCACUUGCUACACAGCCCAAGGACCUGAAAUCAGAACCCCAGAACCCUUAGAAAGACUGGCGUGGCUCCCAGCACCCUACAGGAAAGUGGGAAGCAGCGACAAGAACAUUUCUUGGCAAACUGGGAAGGAGGAGGAGUCCCCAACUGGAACAAGGUGAGGGCCGACACCCAAGGUUGUUCUCCACCCUCCACCCAUGUGCUGUGGCAUGCACUAG